UACGGGGGGUGCGAGCGUUGUCCGGAAUCACUGGGCGUAAAGAGCUCGUAGGCGGCUUGGCAAGUCGGGUGUGAAAACUUCAGGCUCAACCUGGAGCGGCCACUCGAUACUGCCAUGGCUAGAGUCCGGUAGGGGACCACGGAAUUCCUGGUGUAGCGGUGAAAUGCGCAGAUAUCAGGAGGAACACCGGUGGCGAAGGCGGUGGUCUGGGCCGGAACUGACGCUGAGGAGCGAAAGCGUGGGGAGCGAACAGG
rnacentral:rRNA from 1 species